UACGAAGGGGGCUAGCGUUGUUUGGAUUUACUGGGCGUAAAGCGCACGUAGGCGGCUCGAUCAGUCAGGGGUGAAAUCCCAGGGCUCAACCCUGGAACUGCCUUUGAUACUGUCGAUCUGGAGUAUGGAAGAGGUGAGUGGAAUUCCGAGUGUAGAGGUGAAAUUCGUAGAUAUUCGGAGGAACACCAGUGGCGAAGGCGGCUCACUGGUCCAUUACUGACGCUGAGGUGCGAAAGCGUGGGGAGCAAACAGG
rnacentral:rRNA from 1 species